rnacentral:rRNA from 1 species
AGAGUUUGAUCCUGGCUCAGAUUGAACGCUGGCGGCAGGCCUAACACAUGCAAGUCGAACGGUAACAGGAAACAGCUUGCUGUUUCGCUGACGAGUGGCGGACGGGUGAGUAAUGUCUGGGAAACUGCCUGAUGGAGGGGGAUAACUACUGGAAACGGUAGCUAAUACCGCAUAACGUCGCAAGACCAAAGAGGGGGACCUUCGGGCCUCUUGCCAUCGGAUGUGCCCAGAUGGGAUUAGCUUGUUGGUGGGGUAACGGCUCACCAAGGCGACGAUCCCUAGCUGGUCUGAGAGGAUGACCAGCCACACUGGAACUGAGACACGGUCCAGACUCCUACGGGAGGCAGCAGUGGGGAAUAUUGCACAAUGGGCGCAAGCCUGAUGCAGCCAUGCCGCGUGUAUGAAGAAGGCCUUCGGGUUGCAAAGUACUUUCAGCGGGGAGGAAGGGAGUAAAGUUAAUACCUUUGCUCAUUGACGUUACCCGCAGAAGAAGCACCGGCUAACUCCGUGCCAGCAGCCGCGGUAAUACGGAGGGUGCAAGCGUUAAUCGGAAUUACUGGGCGUAAAGCGCACGCAGGCGGUUUGUUAAGUCAGAUGUGAAAUCCCCGGGCUCAACCUGGGAACUGCAUCUGAUACUGGCAAGCUUGAGUCUCGUAGAGGGGGGUAGAAUUCCAGGUGUAGCGGUGAAAUGCGUAGAGAUCUGGAGGAAUACCGGUGGCGAAGGCGGCCCCCUGGACGAAGACUGACGCUCAGGUGCGAAAGCGUGGGGAGCAAACAGGAUUAGAUACCCUGGUAGUCCACGCCGUAAACGAUGUCGACUUGGAGGUUGUGCCCUUGAGGCGUGGCUUCCGGAGCUAACGCGUUAAGUCGACCGCCUGGGGAGUACGGCCGCAAGGUUAAAACUCAAAUGAAUUGACGGGGGCCCGCACAAGCGGUGGAGCAUGUGGUUUAAUUCGAUGCAACGCGAAGAACCUUACCUGGUCUUGACAUCCACGGAAGUUUUCAGAGAUGAGAAUGUGCCUUCGGGAACCGUGAGACAGGUGCUGCAUGGCUGUCGUCAGCUCGUGUUGUGAAAUGUUGGGUUAAGUCCCGCAACGAGCGCAACCCUUAUCCUUUGUUGCCAGCGGUCCGGCCGGGAACUCAAAGGAGACUGCCAGUGAUAAACUGGAGGAAGGUGGGGAUGACGUCAAGUCAUCAUGGCCCUUACGACCAGGGCUACACACGUGCUACAAUGGCGCAUACAAAGAGAAGCGACCUCGCGAGAGCAAGCGGACCUCAUAAAGUGCGUCGUAGUCCGGAUUGGAGUCUGCAACUCGACUCCAUGAAGUCGGAAUCGCUAGUAAUCGUGGAUCAGAAUGCCACGGUGAAUACGUUCCCGGGCCUUGCACUCACAGCCCGUCA